GGACCCGCACAAGUAGUGGAGCAUGUGGUUUAAUUCGAAGAUACGCGCAGAACCUUACCAACACUUGACAUGUUCGUCGCGACUUUAAGAGAUUAAAGUUUUCGGUUCGGCCGGACGAAACACAGGUGCUGCAUGGCUGUCGUCAGCUCGUGUCGUGAGAUGUUGGUUAAGUCCCGCAACGAGCGCAACCCUCACUUUUUAGUUGCCAUCAUUUAGUUGGGCACUCUGAAAGAACUGCCAGUGAUAAGCUGGAGGAAGGUGGGGAUGACGUCAAGUCCUCAUGGCCCUUACGUGUUGGGCUACACACGUGCUACAAUGGUAUCUACAACAGGAAGCAAAACGGCGACGUUAAG
rnacentral:rRNA from 1 species